rnacentral:rRNA from 1 species
UACGGAGGGUGCGAGCGUUGUUCGGAAUCACUGGGCGUAAAGCGCGUGUAGGCGGCCCACUAAGUCUGAUGUGAAAGCCCGGGGCUCACCCCCGGAAGUGCAUUGGAAACUGGUGGACUAGAGUCCCGGAGAGGAAAGUGGAAUUCCUGGUGUAGCGGUGAAAUGCGUAGAUAUCAGGAGGAACACCGGUGGUGUAGACGGCUUUCUGGACCGUAACUGACGCUGAGACACGAAAGCGUGGGUAGCAAACAGG